rnacentral:piRNA from 1 species
UAGUGCUGGUUUUCCUGUGACUAGAACUAC